rnacentral:rRNA from 1 species
CAGCCGCCGCGGGAAUACGAAGGGUGCAAGCGUUAAUCGGAAUUACUGGGCGUAAAGCGUGUGUAGGUGGUUGUUUAAGUCUGUCGUGAAAGCCCUGGGCUCAACCUGGGAAUUGCGAUGGAUACUGGGCGACUAGAGUGCGGUAGAGGAUAGUGGAAUUUCCGGUGUAGCAGUGAAAUGCGUAGAGAUCGGAAGGAACAUCUGUGGCGAAGGCGACUAUCUGGGCCAACACUGACGCUCAUGCACGAAAGCGUGGGGAGCAAACAGGAUUAGAUACCCCCGUAGUCCCUGUCUCUUAUAC